CAAAUUACCCAAUCCCGACACGGGGAGGUAGUGACAAUAAAUACUGAUACAGGGCCCUUUUGGGUCUUGUAUUUGGAAUGAGUACAAUUUAAAUCCUUUAACGAGGAACAAUUGGAGGGCAAUUCGGGUGGCAGCACCGCGGUAAUUCCAGCUCCAAUAGCGUAUAUUUAAAGUUGUUGCAGUAAAAAGCUCGUAUUUGAACCUUGGGUGUGGCUGGCCGGUCCGCCUCACCGCGUGCACUGGGCCUCCCGGAUUCCUUCCUUCUGGCCAACCCCAUGCCCUUCAGUGGGUGUGUUGGGGAACCAGGACUUUUACUUUGAAAAAAUUAGAGUGUUCAAAGCAGGCAUUUGCUCUAAUACAUUAACAUGGAAUAAUAGAAUAGGACGUGCGGGGCUUAUUUGGUGGGUUUCUAGGACCGCCGUAAUGAUUAAUAGGGAUAGUCGGGGGCAUCCGUAUUCAAUUGUCAGAGGUGAAAUUCUUGGAUUUAUUGAAAACAACCUAUGGCGAAAGCAUUUGCCAAGGAUGUUUUCAUUAAUCAGGAACGAAAGUUGAGGGAUCGAAGACGAUCAGAUACCGUCGUAGUCUCAACCAUAAACUAUGCCGACUAGGGAUCGGGCGAUGUUCUUUAUUUGACUCGCUCGGCACCUUACGAGAAAUCAAAGUCUUUGGGUUCUGGGGGGAGUAUG
rnacentral:rRNA from 1 species